rnacentral:lncRNA from 1 species
ACUAGGACUAGGUAAGUUACUGAAUCCAAUCAGUAUGUCCCUACCAAACCAUCCAAAAUGUUUGUUAUUUCCCAAAGUUAGUAUUGAAACCUAAAGAAGAGUCUGUGAUGACAGAUGCCUCAAAUUCUUCAUUUAUUUUAGUUUUACUCAGUCAUUUAUGAAGAAUUCCGUUUUCCUGUAUUGACCACAUAGUCGCUUUUUUGUCUUCUUCAUCUUACAGUAAUUCUGAUCCAUUGGGAGAUAUGCUUGUAUUGUAAACAGAAGAACUAACAGAUCUCCAGUGAGAAGUAAGAUUGUCUUAGCUGACAGUUCUGCAGCCCUACCCCAAAACUCUGAGUCUGAAGGUUUUCAUUAAAUUCUAUCUUAAGGAUUUCAAAAACGCACUUUAUAAAUAAUAUGAACUAUAAACAUCAUA